UAGCAACAGGAGCCAAACUCUGUGCUCAGGCGGUUUGCUGUAAACUUUUCUCAGUUUUCAGUCUUUGAGGUCACAUUAUAGGAUGAGUGGUGGACGGGCUUCAGAGGGCGCUGGCUGCAUCACCUGGUGGGGCUUCAGUCCUGCGCGCGACCUGCUGAGUACGGGCCCCGAGAGACGUGAAAGCAAUGUCAACAUUUUAUUGGUUGGCAGUGGAGAUCCACGACAUAUUUUGAAGACCAUUUCUAGUUUGCGGGAUGAAGAAAGUCUUCACGUGUGGGUGAUAGAAAAUAGCAUGGAGUUGGUGGCGAGACAGCUGUUGCUCCUCUACCUGGCGCUGAUGCCAAAGGAAAGCAUGGGAACGAAUGAGAAGACAGAGGUGUUCCUGGAGGUGUUUGGGAACGGUGAGAUCCGCAGUCAGACAGAGGAGACGCUGAGACACGCAGCAUCGCAGCUCUCUCUGGCUGUUACCGAAACACUGGAGACAGCCACGCACCCCUGUCUGAACACGACUCUUCUCAAGUUCAAGGAGCGAGAUGAGCUGGCCAGGAUAUUCAAGCUGUGGAUCCAGCCACGGCCUUCAUCGUCUUCAUCUACUUGUGCUGCUCCUAUCUUAAUGUCCAAAGUCUGGGAUUAUCGAGUCAGGCAGCACCUUGGUACAUGCUAUGACUAUAAGAAGGAGCGCUUCGACUGGGACCUUAUAAUGAAACUGCACGAGAAAGGGUGUGGCGUCAUCAACAAACAGCAAUAUGCACGAUGGAGGGAAUGGGGUUUGGCGUUUGAAAUGAGGGAAGGUGCCUACCAAAUAACCAAUCAAAGUUUGCUGUCUUCAAGAGUGUUCAGUCAGAGAGGGGACAAAGUGGCUGUCAGAGGCUACUGGGGAGACAUUGUUUCCAGCCCUUACCUCUCCUUUGGCAUCGAAACUGAUGACAAGAGCCUGCUGAAGACACAGAAUGGGCAACACAUAAAGACGGCCCAGGAUAUCUCCAUUGCAAAUGUCCAGGAACUGUUCCAGUCGCUGUCCAGUAGACGGGGCUGCCCCACCACUUCUCAGUCAGUCGCAGAGACAGGGGAGCCGUCCCCGUCCCCAGAGGCUGACCCAAAAUCUGUCACCAUUAACGAUUUGAUGCGUCUGAGUGGAGUCUCUGUGACCUUCCUGCCUAUGGACUCGCUUAACAAACUGCCAGAAAAACAGAAAUACUCCCACUUCUUCAACACCAUCUAUUUCUCUGCCAGCUGCGCGCACCAGUUGGGCCCGACGAUGAGACAGAUUGCAGCACCAGACGCUGUGCUUGUCGUGGAGUUGGCCAAGUACAUUUUGGAUCUGAAUAAAGAGCAAGAAGCAGGCUUUGCAAAGAAAGUGGCGAGCAUGGCUCUGGAGGCUGGAUUUGAGCCGUGGCGUGAGGGGCAGAGUGAUGACGUUCAUGCUGUUUUCAUACCACAGAGGAAGUAAAGGUGGUUAAUUUCUGCACCCUUUCUCAGCAGCUUCACCUUCACAGUGUGCAACAGAAUGACAGUCAAGCCCUCACACGCUGCUGCUCAGCUCUUUCUGCCCGGCGGCUCUCCUGUAACACAAAAACCAUACUGACUGGACUUAAACACA